CAAUAGCGUAUAUUAAAGUUGUUGCAGUUAGAACGCUCGUAGUCGGAUUUCGGGGCGGGUUGACCGGUCUGCCGAUGGGUACGCACUGGCCGACGCGUCCUUCCUUCCGGAGACCGUCCCUACUCUUAACUGAGCGGGGGCGGGAGACGGAACGUUUACUUUGAAAAAAUCAGAGUGUUUCAAGCAGGCAUCUCGCUCUUGCAUGGAUUAGCAUGGGAUAAUGAAAUAGGACUUUGGUGCUAUUUUGUUGGUUUCGAACACCGAAGUAAUGAUGAGAAGGGACAGUCAGGGGCACUCGUAUUCCGCCGAGAGAGGUGAAAUUCUCAGACCAGCGGAAGACGAACCACUGCGAAAGCAUUUGCCAGGGAUGUUUUCACUG
rnacentral:rRNA from 1 species